ensembl:lncRNA
GCGUUUGGGUGUUAUCGGCCGACCUCUCUCACCAAGUGUUUCUUUGUUUCAGUGUUUUGCUGGGACCAAGGGAUUUGGGCACAGACUGACCUACCUGAAGUCUACCAAAACCCUCCUGAAGAAAGAUCCCUUCCCGUCGUGGCUGGGACCUCUGCCAUUGGGGUCCUCCCUCUCCUCUUCCUCCUCCUCUUUUUCCUCUGCUUGUGCUGCUGCGGAGGUCAACACGGCGGUUCCAGUGAUAAUGAGACCAAGAGCCAGCUGGAUUUUAACAGCUCCAACCCUGGCAUGGACUUCUCAGAAGAAAAUCCGGACGGUGUCUCGGUGCACCUCCCGCCAGAGGAGGACAGGCGGACGGACAUGCAGGCGGAUUCUUUUACCACUGCGCGACUUGGGAAGCCCCAGUCCUCAUUUUGGAGCUCCCCGAAGACUUGAGAAUACAGAAGCCUUGUCAGUCGUCAAGAAAUUCUGGGAUACGAGAGAUGGGACAUUUCCUGCCGUAUCAGUGAACAAAGGGCAUCACAGUCAAGAGCAAUGACGGCCACCACGGCUGCUGAGCUGGUGAGCCCUGAGGGCACUCGGAAGGAAAGGACACGGCCGUCUAGCAGCCAUCAGAUUGCUGCCACACUGAGGGUGAGCCCGGAGCGAACUCGGGAUGUGAAAACAGCAGGAUCCUGGCCCCAGACAGCUGAGGCGCGCAUCGGAGCAAUGAUUUCAGCGAGCCCAGACGCUUCCAUCUUCCCAUACGUAGAAAAGCGCUAAAUUCCUUAACUUGGGAUAGCGGGUUUUCUUUAAUUGGCGGUAGCGUUCGAGGUUCAGAUUAUCUGCCUUUUGUUGCGAAGCUUCUUUAUUACCUGCCCCCUCCCCUCGCCUCCUCUGAGCAGUUCUCUCGGGAUUACUUGGGAUGCUACUUCCCGGGCUUGAGUCCUAGGAAUAUCUGACGAAUAACACAAAACUCUCA